rnacentral:misc_RNA from 1 species
ACAACCGGUAUCCAGGAUCCUCCAGCCAGGCUGAGGUCCAGCGCGGGUAAAGCCCUCUUCCCCACGAUCACCGGAUGUACAAAUUCAACUGAAACGUGCUGCGCAUCAGUGGCGUAGGCUCCCCCUCCGAAGGCCAAGAGUCGCCCGCCUUCCAUAAACCGUUCGGCCAUUCGCCGGCAAAUCUGAGCCAAGCGUUCGGCCUCCUGAGGGAAGAAUCCCUUUGAAACCUGAUUGCGGUCGAGUAAUCGAUCUUCGAUGUAGGGGACGAGGGUCAUUCAGUUCCAACUAACAUAUCCGCGGCAGGGGAUCGCCCACCA